GAUGAACGCUGGCGGCGUGCCUAAUACAUGCAAGUCGAGCGAACAGACGAGGAGCUUGCUCCUCUGACGUUAGCGGCGGACGGGUGAGUAACACGUGGAUAACCUACCUAUAAGACUGGGAUAACUUCGGGAAACCGGAGCUAAUACCGGAUAAUAUAUUGAACCUCAUGGUUCAAUAGUGAAAGACGGUUUUGCUGUCACUUAUAGAUGGAUCCGCGCCGCAUUAGCUAGUUGGUAAGGUAACGGCUUACCAAGGCAACGAUGCGUAGCCGACCUGAGAGGGUGAUCGCCCACACUGGAACUGAGACGCGGUCCAGACUCCUACGGGAGGCAGCAGUAGGGAAUCUGCCGCAAUGGGCGAAAGCCUGACGGAGCAACGCCGCGUGAGUGAUGAAGGUCUUCGGAUCGUAAAACUCUGUUAUUAGGGAAGAACAAAUGUGUAAGUAACUAUGCACGUCUUGACGGUACCUAAUCAGAAAGCCACGGCUAACUACGUG
rnacentral:rRNA from 1 species